rnacentral:lncRNA from 1 species
UUUUUCUACCCCUAAUAAAUGUGAGCACUGUGAUCAUAAAGACCCAGGUCAAUGCCCAAUGUCAUCGAAGACUUUCUUCCCAGGAACAAAUAUUUGUUGAGUGCCUAUAUUUUCCAGACACUUUCCAGGAUCCAGGGACUCAAUGGUCAACAUCUUCAGCAUUUACACAGAGGUCAUGGUGGAAAGUCUCAGCCUUCAGUACUAGACAACAGAAUAAGAGACAGUGGGAGCUUAUGCAGUGCGCUGGAGGCAAAGGUUGGCAUACAUGUCAAGAGAAUGUUCUCCAGCUGGGGCCUGCAGUACAGAGAAUUGUAUAUACCAGAGGGCUCAUGGGACUCUAGGCAGAUUAUUAUGGUAAUAUUGGAGGCUGCUGUCCUCUCCCUCCCACAGCUGGGCCGCCUCUCUCAUUGUGGGAGUUGGCCACAUAGAGGAGUGAAAUUGCUUGUCCAAAGUCACCCAACUUGUAAGUAA